AUGUCUGGUGAUUUUUUUAUCCCUAAUUUCAAAUUUGUACUGACCAAGUUUCUCAUCACCCGUUCGUUUACCGGAAUUUGCUAAAGCGGCUCGGUGUAAUUUUUUUCUGCGCUUGAUAUUCGAUUUAUUUAUUUUCCAAAAUACUGAAUCCGCUAGAGGGGGGUGUGCAUUAUACUCGGGUGUGCACUAUACUCAAGAACAUAUUGUAGAUAGAGGACAAUCUACUGUAUCAUCAACACAUGUCAACGUUAGUACGCCACCUGGAAUUCACCAGGCAGAUGGCUACUAUAUCUUUUUAACUGGGAUGGAUAAUCAACAAGGCGAAGUUGGGAGUUAGUGGACGCCUCCCAUCAGGGGUGGGGUGUUCACUUACAAGACCAGAUAACCUAAGCUAUGGUCCGGCGCUCAGUGAAAGUGGCACAUAAACAACUUGGAGUUCGAAGCUUAAAUUCUGGCCUUAUCACAUUGGCAGAAUCAACUACUGUCAGCCCAACUCGCAAUAUCCAAAGACAACAGCACUGCAGUGUGGUGCUUGCACAAUCAGGGAAAAACACACUCCCACUCUCUACUUCAACAGACAUUCAGAUUUUUCCAUCUAGUGGAUCGGCUGCAACUACAGUUCAUAGUUCUGCACAUCCCAGGAUGUCGAAACAUACUGACCGGUACCUUAUCACGUCCAGACAGGGUGGCUCCCUACGAGUGGAAACUUCUCACAGAAGCAUCCCAGUUACUGCUUCAGAAGUUCAGGCAACCAACCAACCACCAACUCAUGACGUAUAUCUCCCCGUUACCGGAUCCGCAGACUUGGACGGUGGACAAGUUCAGUAUCCCUUGGGAAGGGCUAAAAGCAUACACUUUUCCGUCACCAGUUUUACUUCCAAAGGUGAUACAGGGGAUCAAGGGGACAAGGUAUCUUGCUCUCACCUUGGUCGUGCCCUGAUGACCGACAAGAGGGUGGUUUGUCGAGUUCAGAAAAAUCUAGCAGAAGACGAUCCACUAUCCCUCCCACAGUGGUCCAACCUACUCAUCCAUCCUCACAGCAAAUUGUAUCACCCAACGUCUGCACUCAUGGUUCUUCUUUUAAAGGCGUUUAAGUGUGAAGGGUUAUUUCAGCACGGGCAGCAAAGCUAUAGCUUUAGUUCAUCGUUCCUCUCUCAUUUGAGACUUUUUGCUAGGCAAAAGAAUCAAGACCCUACGAUUUCGUCACAACAAUUCCUAGCGGAAUACCUCCUACAUUUGCGUAUCCAAAGACACUUGGAAGGUAGCACCAUUACUGCGUACUUGGUUGCACUUAACUCAGUGUUGGCUGUUCCAGGAAAAUCACAAGGUGAUUAAGGUCACGGAACUACAGGCCCUAUUACGCUCAUUCAGGCUUGAGGAUCAGGAGGCUAAGUUCCGCCCACCUGCUUGGGACUUGAACGUGGUACCUACGUGGAACAAGGUUUACGAGGGCCCCCUUCUAGCCCCUCUAUGCAUCCUCAUUUUAUGACCUCACCAAGAAAACAAUGGUUUCCCCUGGCAUUAGCAAUGGCGGCACGGGUGAGUGAACUACAUGUGAUCGACACCACCCAGUUCCGCUUUGAGCAUUGGACGCACGUAGCGGUACAUCUCGGGUUAUGCUGGGAUUAUUUUUAAAAUCAGCUACCAGGCCAACCCGACUGUUCCUUCACCAUCCCACCAAUAUCGACUAUUGUGGAAGCCGUACAUGAAGGUGAACUUCUUCUGGGCUCAGUGUGAGCAGUUUGAGUUUUCAUUCGCCGCUCCAAGACUAGGCUCGGUUCGAGGAAGCGGUUAUUUAUACCCAUGUUUACUAGGUCCACGACCGAAGUUAGUCACAAAUACCAUAUCUCUAUGGUUAUGCAGUCAUCCUUCAGACCUACAAGAUCACCAAAACGGAAUCCACCGAGAGCGAAUUACCCUCACGAUCUCAGGGUGUCAGCCUUACCAUGGCUCUACACGGCAAUUGUUUUAAUAGAACAAUCAUGGAAGGAUAUUUCUGGAGGUUCGACACAGUUUUCGUUAGUCAUUAUCUACGCGUUGUGGCUCUCGAGGACGUUGAAGGCGUGCACAGUUUGGCCCUCUGGUUGUAACCAAGCAGGUUACCAACCACUGACACAAAUAAUGAACUCGCCCUAUACAGAGUUAGCCUACUUCCAUGUGCAGUCACUCAGUUGCCGCCAAGAAGAAUAUUAGACAUUCUUGUUUGUCAACGAUGGCUCUAUGAUGUAGUAAGUAAAGAAUUAGGUGAUUAGCUAUUAUUUUCUUUAUUACUAAGUGUGUAUUGGGAAUUUCUUUGUAAUUCCUAUGUUCAAUCAUUUUGAUUUUUGAACAACCCUACCGUAAUGGCGUUUUUCUUAACUUUUCCGCUUCACAGUUUAUCGACCAACUGGUGUCGUAUUUCAGGGUGUGAAUUAAUGAGGUUUCUGUAUUCUGAAGGUUUACCCACCUCCAAACCGUCCGAUACAGAUGCAUUAAGGAGUAUUACAGGAUAAGUAAAAAAUUUAGUAAAAUCUAAAUAUUAUUUACAUUUGUAUACUUAUCCUGCAUUACUACAUAUAAGGCCCACCCGUUGCACGACUUGCCUCCCCACUUUGUCACAGGACAGCGCCGGAAGGUCAGUAAAGGGACUUCAGAACAACAACUAUAUUUCUUCACCCAGGACUUUCGCAGUUGCGCUGUCCUUCUAGUUGUUGUAAGUCGCUUAAACUGAACAUAAACGAACGUGAUAUGGAGAAGGAACAUCAACGACAGAUAGUGAAGCGACGCAAAGAGAAAGAGAAAGGUUCAAGAUCCAACAAGAAAAACAAGACGUAGCCAUCAUUCCACACAACAUUGUUAAAUUCCAAUUUUUUCUGGGAACAAAUCAAAAGCUGUGUAUUUGGAUCUAGUUCACCUCUCCAUCGGAUACACAUGCACAAAGUUGGUUCUCACGCACCAUUACAAGAUGUUUCUUAUCCAAAUAUUGACAGAAAGCUGUCCAUGCAUAUAAACCUUGAUAAUAUAAUUUCAGUCAACAGGGUA